CACGUGAGUAAUCUGCCUUUUAGUUUGGGAUAACAGCACGAAAGAGCUGCUAAUACCGAAUAAGACUCCGCGACUGCGGUCGUGAAGGAAAGGGUGGGACCUCUUCGGAGGCCAUCUGCUAGAAGAUGAGCUCGCGGCCCAUUAGGUAGUUGGCGGGGUAACGGCCCACCAAGCCCGCGAUGGGUAGCUGGUCUGAGAGGACGAUCAGCCACACUGGAACUGAAACACGGUCCAGACUCCUACAGGAGGCAGCAGUGAGGAAUCUUGCGCAAUGGGCGAAAGCCUGACGCAGCCAUGCCG
rnacentral:rRNA from 1 species